rnacentral:lncRNA from 1 species
GUUCAUAAUUAAAGACUAUAUAUAUAUAUAUAGAGUUGGACUGGGCUACUAUUAGUAGCAAAAUUCUAUUAUUGCUAUCAGUUUUUUAACCUUUGGAUCAACUCUUUUCAUUAUUUCUAAUCAUUGGAUUAAAUACUAUAACCCAGUGGGGACCACUCAACCCUAGGGGGACCACUCAAUUCUAACCGACUAAUAUCAUCCUAACUCUACAAUUUUUCAUCCAAGGGUUAAAAACUUGAUAGCAAAAAGUGCGUUUUACUAUUAAUAGUAUUCCAGCCUAAUUCUAUAUAUAUAUAUAUAUAUAUAUAUAGUGAGGCUACUAUACUAUCGGAAGCACGGAGCCUUCCGUGCUUGUACCUCGUUUUCGAUGUUGGGACUUUCGAAUCGUCGAUCGGCUCCGUUAAACUUGAUCUAGAGUAUUUGGAGCACAUAGAAAAUAAAUUUUAUUAUUUUUCGAUAUCAUUUGCCUAGUGAUCGAAUGAGCUCAAAAUCAACAAAUUUCAAUGGCCGUAGUGAGCCGUUUGUAAGUUUAACGGUGUAAAAAUAUCCAAAUCACGUGAAAUUUUGAUAGAAAAUCCUUUAUACUAUAUAAAACAAGAUCAAUAUCUUUGAUUUAAAAUUUUAAUGUCAUAUUAUUACAUNUCGCAACAUCGAAAACGAGGUGGAAGCACGGAAGGCUCCAUGCUUCCGAUAACAUAGUAGCCACUCUCUCUCUCUCUUUCUCUCUCUCUCUCUCUCUCUCUCUCUCUCUAUAUAUAUAUAUAUAUAUAUAUAUAUAUAUAUAUAUAUAAA